UUGCUCUUCAACGAGGAAUGCCUAGUAAGCGCAUGUCAUCAGCAUGCGUUGAUUACGUCCCUGCCCUUUGUACACACCGCCCGUCGCUACUACCGAUUGAAUGGCUCAGUGAGGCCUUCGGACUGGCUCGGAGAGGUUGGCAACGACCACUCCGAGCCGGAAAGUUCGUCAAACUCGGUCAUUUAGAGGAAGUAAAAGUCGUAACAAGGUUUCCGUAGGUGAACCUGCGGAAGGAUCAUUACCUAGAGUUGUAGGCUUUGCCUGCUAUCUCUUACCCAUGUCUUUUGAGUACUUACGUUUCCUCGGCGGGUCCGCCCGCCGAUUGGACAAUUUAAACCAUUUGCAGUUGCAAUCAGCGUCUGAAAAACUUUAAUAGUUACAACUUUCAACAACGGAUCUCUUGGUUCUGGCAUCGAUGAAGAACGCAGCGAAAUGCGAUAAGUAAUGUGAAUUGCAGAAUUCAGUGAAUCAUCGAAUCUUUGAACGCACAUUGCGCCCGCCAGUAUUCUGGCGGGCAUGCCUGUCCGAGCGUCAUUUCAACCAUCAAGCCCCCGGCUUGUGUUGGGGACCUGCGUCUGACGCAGGCCCUGAAAACCAGUGGCGGGCUCGCUGUCCACACCGAGCGUAGUAACUAACCUCGCUAUGGAGUGGCGCGGGCGCCUGCCGUAAAACCCCCAAUUUUACAAGGUUGACCUCGGAUCAGGUAGGAAUACCCGCUGAACUUAAGCAUAUCAAUAAGCGGAGGA
rnacentral:rRNA from 1 species